rnacentral:rRNA from 1 species
CCUACGGGUGGCAGCAGUGAGGAAUAUUGGUCAAUGGACGGGAGUCUGAACCAGCCAAGUAGCGUGAAGGAUGACUGCCCUAUGGGUUGUAAACUUCUUUUAUAUGGGAAUAAAAUGUUCCACGUGUAGGAUUUUGUAUGUACCAUAUGAAUAAGGAUCGGCUAACUCCGUGCCAGCAGCCGCGGUAAUACGGAGGGUCCGAGCGUUAUCCGGCUUUAUUGGGUUUAAAGGGUGCGUAGGUGGAUUGUUAAGUCAGUUGUGAAAGUUUGCGGCUCAACCGUAGAAUUGCAGUUGAAACUGGCAGUCUUGAGUACAGUAGAGGUGGGCGGAAUGCGUGGUGUAGCGGUGAAAUGCUUAGAUAUCACGAAGAACUCCGAUUGCGAAGGCAGUUCACUGGACUGCAACUGACACUGAGGCUCGAAAGUGUGGGUAUCAAACAGGAUUAGAUACCCCAGUAGUC